GAUGAACGCUGGCGGCGUGCUUAACACAUGCAAGUCGAACGAUGAAGCCCAGCUUGCUGGGUGGAUUAGUGGCGAACGGGUGAGUAACACGUGAGUAACCUGCCCCUGACUCUGGGAUAAGCCCGGGAAACUGGGUCUAAUACUGGAUAUGACCUGUCACCGCAUGGUGGUGGGUGGAAAGAUUUUUUGGUUGGGGAUGGACUCGCGGCCUAUCAGCUUGUUGGUGAGGUAGUGGCUCACCAAGGCGACGACGGGUAGCCGGCCUGAGAGGGUGACCGGCCACACUGGGACUGAGACACGGCCCAGACUCCUACGGGAGGCAGCAGUGGGGAAUAUUGCACAAUGGGCGCAAGCCUGAUGCAGCGACGCCGCGUGAGGGAUGACGGCCUUCGGGUUGUAAACCUCUUUCAGUAGGGAAGAAGCCUUUGGGUGACGGUACCUGCAGAAGAAGCGCCGGCUAACUACGUGCCAGCAGCCGCGGUAAUACGUAGGGCGCAAGCGUUAUCCGGAUUUAUUGGGCGUAAAGAGCUCGUAGGCGGUUUGUCGCGUCUGCCGUGAAAGUCCGGGGCUUAACUCCGGAUCUGCGGUGGGUACGGGCAGACUAGAGUGCAGUAGGGGAGACUGGAAUUCCUGGUGUAGCGGUGAAAUGCGCAGAUAUCAGGAGGAACACCGAUGGCGAAGGCAGGUCUCUGGGCUGUAACUGACGCUGAGGAGCGAAAGCAUGGGGAGCGAACAGGAUUAGAUACCCUGGUAGUCCAUGCCGUAAACGUUGGGCACUAGGUGUGGGGGACAUUCCACGUUUUCCGCGCCGUAGCUAACGCAUUAAGUGCCCCGCCUGGGGAGUACGGCCGCAAGGCUAAAACUCAAAGGAAUUGACGGGGGCCCGCACAAGCGGCGGAGCAUGCGGAUUAAUUCGAUGCAACGCGAAGAACCUUACCAAGGCUUGACAUGGACUGGAUCGCCGCAGAGAUGUGGUUUCCCUUCGGGGCUGGUUCACAGGUGGUGCAUGGUUGUCGUCAGCUCGUGUCGUGAGAUGUUGGGUUAAGUCCCGCAACGAGCGCAACCCUCGUUCCAUGUUGCCAGCGGGUUAUGCCGGGGACUCAUGGGAGACUGCCGGGGUCAACUCGGAGGAAGGUGAGGACGACGUCAAAUCAUCAUGCCCCUUAUGUCUUGGGCUUCACGCAUGCUACAAUGGCCGGUACAAAGGGUUGCGAUACUGUGAGGUGGAGCUAAUCCCAAAAAGCCGGUCUCAGUUCGGAUUGGGGUCUGCAACUCGACCCCAUGAAGUCGGAGUCGCUAGUAAUCGCAGAUCAGCAACGCUGCGGUGAAUACGUUCCCGGGCCUUGUACUCACCGCC
rnacentral:rRNA from 1 species